AGUGACCUAUCUCAGACAACAUAAACAUGUAACAGAAUCAGAGCCGGCAACUGUCACGAUGAGUUACAGAGGUCAGACUAUAGCUGUCCCCAGUGAACCUAAGAAAAGUAAAUACCUAUUGCUGAAAAAGAAUGACAACAAAAAGAUUAUAAAGAGAUUUAUUAUCCGGAGAGGAGGUA